UACAGAGGUCUCAAGCGUUGUUCGGAAUCACUGGGCGUAAAGGGCGCGUAGGCGGACAAGUAAGUCGGGCGUGAAAUCCCUAGGCUCAACCUAGGAACUGCACUCGAAACUGCCUGUCUUGAGUACCGGAGAGGAAAGCGGAAUACCUGGUGUAGAGGUGAAAUUCGUAGAUAUCAGGUGGAACACCAGUGGCGAAGGCGGCUUUCUGGACGGUAACUGACGCUGAGGCGCGAAAGCGUGGGGAGCAAACAGG
rnacentral:rRNA from 1 species